CAAGAGACAAAAACAUUGUAUUUUGGUGCAGAAAGCUGAAAAAUGUAUGCUUUGUAAUAAAAGCUUGAGCUAAUGAAAUAUAUUUUUCUGAAGAAGAAAAAGAAAGCAUGAAAUUUAGGGUUUAUUGGUAUUGGGCCACCUCAUGAACCAGUAUUCAGAGGAUCAUGGAUUUUAAUGCAUCAAAAUACUAUAAUGAACGAUAUGCAUCGCCAAGAAUCCCUUCAAUCUUCAGCAAGAAAUCAUCAG
rnacentral:lncRNA from 1 species